rnacentral:rRNA from 1 species
AACGCUGGCGGCGUGCCUAACACAUGCAAGUCGAACGCGAAAGCCCCGCAAGGGGCAAGUAGAGUGGCAAACGGGUGAGUAACGCGUGGGUGACCUGCCUUCGAGCGGGGGAUAACGUUCCGAAAGGGACGCUAAUACCGCAUAACAUCCUGCUUUUGAACAGGUGGAGAUCAAAGCUGGGGACCGCAAGGCCCGGCACUCGAAGAGGGGCCCGCGUCUGAUUAGCUAGUUGGUGAGGUAACGGCUCACCAAGGCAACGAUCAGUAUCCGGCCUGAGAGGGCGGACGGACACACUGGGACUGAGACACGGCCCAGACUCCUACGGGAGGCAGCAGUGGGGAAUUGUUCGCAAUGGGCGCAAGCCUGACGACGCAACGCCGCGUGGAGGAUGAAGAUUUUCGGAUCGUAAACUCCUGUCGAA